rnacentral:rRNA from 1 species
UACGUAGGGGGCAAGCGUUGUCCGGAAUCAUUGGGCGUAAAGGGCGCGUAGGCGGGCCGUCUAGUCCGUGGUGAAAUCCUCCGGCUCAACCGGAGAAGUGCCUCGGAUACUGGCGGCCUCGAGGGGGGUAGGGGCGUGCGGAACUUCCGGUGGAGCGGUGAAAUGCGUAGAUAUCGGAAGGAACACCGGUGGCGAAAGCGGCGCGCUGGACCCCAUCUGACGCUGAGGCGCGAAAGCCAGGGGAGCAAACGGG